UAGGGAAUCUUCGGCAAUGGACGAAAGGUCUGACCGAGCAACGCCGCGUGAGUGAAGAAGGUUUCGGAUCGUAAACUCUGUUGGUAGAGAAGAACGUUGGUGAGAGUGGAAAGCUCAUCAAGUGACGGUAACUACCCAGAAAGGGACGGCUAACUACGUGCCA
rnacentral:rRNA from 1 species